UAAGUAAUGCUGACUGUAUGUUGACAGCUGCUGGUAUAGAUGUGAAUAAAUGCUCAAACAUUGACUGAUGGUUAUAUCUGCUAAAGAAGAGGUGUGUUCUGCAUGGUGGCAGUACGUGUAUUUUGUGUACGAGUCCGGUUGGCUGGGUUUUUUUUUUUUUUGGGUAUUUCUUCUUUUAUAACACCUUCCCAGCCUUAUGUCGC